GCCGCAGGCCUUCUUAUCGCUGCCCGCUUAGGCGGGGAGAGGAAAGUCCGGACACCAUAGGGCAGCAUAGCGGGUAAUUCCCGUCACUUCGUUUCGGCGGAGGAGGACAAGUGCAGCAGAAAGUAUGUACAGGUAAUGCUGUAGUGAAACCAGGUAAACUCUAUGCGGUGAAAUGCCAUGUAUACCGGCAAUUAAGGGCGGCUCGUCCGAUGCCGGGGGGUAGGCAGAUUGAUCUCUCGCAGUAAUGCAGAGGCUAGAUAAAUGAUAAGAAACCCCGCUUUAGGGCGGGGUUACAGAAUCCGGCUUACAGGCCUGCUAUUUUU
rnacentral:RNase_P_RNA from 1 species